GACGAACGCUGGCGGCGUGCUUAACACAUGCAAGUCGAACGGAAAGGCCCUGCUUGCAGGGUACUCGAGUGGCGAACGGGUGAGUAACACGUGGGUGAUCUGCCCUGCACUUCGGGAUAAGCCUGGGAAACUGGGUCUAAUACCGGAUAGGAGCCAUUUUUAGUGUGAUGGUUGGAAAGUUUUUUCAGUGUAGGAUGAGCUCGCGGCCUAUCAGCUUGUUGGUGGGGUAAUGGCCUACCAAGGCGGCGACGGGUAGCCGGCCUGAGAGGGGGGACGGCCACAUUGGGACUGAGAUACGGCCCAGACUCCUACGGGAGGCAGCAGUGGGGAAUAUUGCACAAUGGGCGCAAGCCUGAUGCAGCGACGCCGCGUGGGGGAUGACGGCCUUCGGGUUGUAAACGCCUUUCGCUAGGGACGAAGCUUUGUGUGACGGUACCUAGAGAAGAAGCACCGGCUAACUACGUG
rnacentral:rRNA from 1 species